rnacentral:rRNA from 1 species
UACGUAGGGCGCGAGCGUUGUCCGGAAUUAUUGGGCGUAAAGAGCUCGUAGGCGGCUUGUCACGUCGGGUGUGAAAGACCGGGGCUUAACUCCGGUUCUGCAUUCGAUACGGGCUAGCUAGAGUGUGGUAGGGGAGAUCGGAAUUCCUGGUGUAGCGGUGAAAUGCGCAGAUAUCAGGAGGAACACCGGUGGCGAAGGCGGCUUGCUGGGCGUGAUCUGACGCUGAGGCGCGAAAGCGUGGGGAGCGAACAGG